rnacentral:misc_RNA from 1 species
UUCUAUAAGCAAUGAGGUCGUACAUAUUAAAAUUAUCGCUCUGCAUGUCUUGCUUCAUUCUAAGUGUUGCCUUGCCUUCUUCAAUCAUGCCUCGUCUCAUUUCAUCAAAAAGUUUCAAAGACUCUGCAAUAGGUCUAUCCCUCCAAGGACUGUUCAUCUUCUUUUCUCUAUACUCCUUAAUCUCCUCAGGUGUCUGAUGAUCAACAUAUGCAUGACCCCUUCGUAUCAGCUCAACAGCUAAGUCAUACAGGUCUUGGAAAUAAUCACUGGUAUAAGUGAUCUUGAAGGGUUUCCACCCCAUCCACUGGACAAUCUCUUCAAUGUGAUCAAUAUACUCCUUCUUUUCAGCCUCAGGGUUUGUAUCAUCAUACCUCAGGUAGCAGCAUCCAUCUCGCUCUUUUGCCAAACCAAAGCUAACAAACAUUGCCUUUGCAUGACCAAUGUGCAGAUAUCCAUUUGGCUCAGGGGGAAAGCGAGUAAAAACUUUUCCCCCUGUUGCUUUCAGAUGUUUAUCAAGCAUUUCCUUUGUGUUGCAGCAUCUCAAAACAGACUUAUCACUGAAGAAUAUUUCAGUGUGCACCUUGAAAUUUUCCUCAGGAUUGGGAAAUAUUAGAAAUGGAUUAAGAUCUUCCUCAGAUGGCAGCACUGGAUUUUCAUCAGCAACUUUUUUAUCCUCAACUUUAGCUGGCUUUUCUUUUUUCUGCUUAGAGGGCUUCUCAUUAUCAGCUGCAGUCCUUUCACCAAGUAAUUCAAAUAAUUUUGCAUCUAUGAGUUGCUUGACAAUCUUUGGAUCAGCCCACGGAAGUCUCUUUCG